rnacentral:tRNA from 1 species
UCCCCGGUGGUCCAGUGGUUAGGACUCUACACUUUCACUGUCAAUGACACAGGUUUGAUCCCUGGUCAGGGAA